rnacentral:rRNA from 1 species
GACGAACGCUGGCGGCGUGCUUAACACAUGCAAGUCGAACGGAAAGGCCCUGCUUUUGUGGGGUGCUCGAGUGGCAAACGGGUGAGUAACACGUGAGUAACCUGCCCUUGCUUUUGGGAUACCUCCAGGAAACUGGGGCUAAUACCGGAUAGAAGCUCCUGCUGCAGGGUGGGGGUGGGAAAGUUUCGGCGGUUGGGGAUGGACUCGCGGCUUAUCAGCUUGUUGGUGGGGUAGUGGCUUACCAAGGCUUUGACGGGUAGCCGGCCUGAGAGGGUGACCGGCCACAUUGGGACUGAGAUACGGCCCAGACUCCUACGGGAGGCAGCAGUGGGGAAUAUUGCACAAUGGGCGGAAGCCUGAUGCAGCAACGCCGCGUGCGGGAUGACGGCCUUCGGGUUGUAAACCGCUUUCGCCUGUGACGAAGCGUGAGUGACGGUAAUGGGUAAAGAAGCACCGGCUAACUACGUG